GGGGAUGUAGCUCAGAUGGUAGAGCGCUCGCUUAGCAUGUGAGAGUAGCGAGAUCGAUGCUCGCCAUCUCCA
rnacentral:tRNA from 1 species